rnacentral:rRNA from 1 species
UAACCGCAAGGAGGACGCUUACCACGGUGUGGCCGAUGACUGGGGUGAAGUCGUAACAAGGUAGCCGUAGGGGAACCUGCGGCUGGAUCACCUCCUUAA